rnacentral:lncRNA from 1 species
UAUUAAAUAAGUUAUUAUAUGUUAAGGUCUUAUCAAUUUAGCUACCAACUACAGUGCCUUAUGAUUAGGAAAACAUGACUCAUGUUUCCCAUUUGCAAAUUAAAACUUUCCCCCAGUGUCUCACCGCAGCCUCCUUGGUCUUAAAAUCCUUCUCCCUCUGCAUACGGUACUGCUCAAUCUCGGCCUGGGCUUCCUCCUUGGCCUGCUUCAGCCGACGGUUCUUACCUGAUCAAACCGAAGGGAAAAAAAAUCUGCACUUAGGCCUACUCGUUUUUCAGCUUGCAAAAGCUGCUGGAUACCCUGGGACUGGCUAGCCAUUGUUUAGUUCGGAGAGAAACAGACGGACAAGAAUGUGGUUCCUCCAGCUGCUGUUCUGUGUUUGCAGCGAAGGUUGGUGAAUUUACUGCAGUCAGCUGACAGCGCGUCACAGACAGAAGGGGUAACCCUGACACGUCCAGUCGCGUGUAGUGUGAGAGGGUGAAACUGGGCCAACAUUCUGCAAAUUUUCUCAUCGAUGAAACUGAUCAAUACAUUAUUAUUUUCCCAAAACUAUGUCACGAACAGCGUAUACGUUUUAGACUUGACGCUUUGCCAAAGUUACGAUGUUUAGACGGCGUGGAAGGUUGAAUUGAGUUUGUGCACACGCGCACUUCAGAGGAGGCGUCCCCUAACUGAAAUAUACUAUUUUAGGUUAGAAGUAUCUUUGAUAUCGUUGUCAGGCUCAAACCACAUGAUUGGGUAAUUAUUGGAGUGCGGUCGGUUUGCGUCGGUGCCGUAUUACAGCUGUUGCUAGCUAAUUUGUCCUGGGAUAUAAACAUUGAGUUGUUAUUUUACCUGAAAUGCACAAUGUAUUCUACUCCAACAGUUAAUCCACACAUAAAACGGCCAACCGAAUAGUUUCUAGUCAUCUCUCCUCCUUCCAAGCUUUUUCAUCUUUGCCACGACAACUGCCAAAACAUUUCGUCUUUCAAUCGCCCACGUGGGUAUAACCAAUGAGGAUGGCACGUGGGUACCUGCUUCUAUAAACCAAUGAGGAGAUGGGAGAGGCAGGACUUGCAGCACGAUCUGCGUCAGAAAUAGAAAGGAGUUCUAUUUUAGCACUUGGC